UGCCGGCCGUUCAAACCAGAACCCUGCCCUACAGCCCUUCUGUGGCUCCUCUCCCUCUCUGUCUCCCUCCGUCUGUCUGCCUGCCUGCCUGCCUGCCUGCCUGCCUGCUUGCUGAGGACAUAGCGAAGUCAGUAGCACUAGGCACUAUUAUGUAGCCCUGUUGGUCGGGCGGAAUGGGCCCCUCUUUCCUUGAAGGAGCAGCCUGACUGAAACUGGCUUGGCACUUUCCCAUGGCCUCUGAAAAUAGACAAGGUUUCAAGCUCCAAUAUGUAGACUGGGAAGAACUACCCUGAGGUUAGCUGGGAUAUUGGAAUAGAUUUUGUUUUGAGGGUGGGGAAAAGGAAUGCAACAUAUUCAACAGAUGGGCUUCUUUUCUGCUUGUUGUUUCACCUUGUGUGGGACAUGACCUUCAAAAGGGAGGGAAGGUGUCUAUGUUUCCCAGACAGGCUUUUUUCCUGUCACCCCAUUUUCCUUCACCAUCCCUGUCUGCCGCCCUUUUCAUCACAGGAGAAGUUUCUGGAGGGCUUUCAGUGUUCUGGAACGAGGAGUGUUCUGGGUUCCAUGGCACAGAAGGCUCCCAGGGGGCUGAACUGAGCAUGGUCUGGAAUAUGUAACUCUGUGAAAUUUGUGAUGGUGACAUGGUUGCAGGAUCCAGAGAUGUAAGGAUUUGCAAUAUUGAUAGAUUGCAGAGGAACCCACGGACCUGCAAUUUGGAACUUUUUAGAGCACUGUGCACUUUUGAAUGCAGGAUCGUCUUGAGUUGUAGCAUGGAUUGUUUUUAAAAUCUACUUUCCUAAGUAACUUGGUUUGUACUAGAAAUGCUUU